rnacentral:rRNA from 1 species
ACUACGGGUGGCUGCAGUGGGGAAUAUUGGGCAAUGGGCGCAAGCCUGACCCAGCAACGCCGCGUGAAGGAAGAAGGCUUUCGGGUUGUAAACUUCUUUUCUCAGGGACGAAGAAAGUGACGGUACCUGAGGAAUAAGCCACGGCUAACUACGUGCCAGCAGCCGCGGUAAUACGUAGGUGGCAAGCGUUAUCCGGAUUUAUUGGGUGUAAAGGGCGUGUAGGCGGGAGCGCAAGUCAGAUGUGAAAACUCAGGGCUCAACCCUGAGCCUGCAUUUGAAACUGUGUUUCUUGAGUGCUGGAGAGGCAAUCGGAAUUCCGUGUGUAGCGGUGAAAUGCGUAGAUAUACGGAGGAACACCAGUGGCGAAGGCGGAUUGCUGGACAGUAACUGACGCUGAGGCGCGAAAGCGUGGGGAGCAAACAGGAUUAGAUACCCUAGUAGUC